CAAUGCUGCUCAUCUCUCUGUUCGUGGUUGUGUUGGGGGUUGCUGAGAUACAUGGUGCUGUGAUCCCCGUCGUCGGGUCACAGGUCUCUUCCUCCUCAGUCUUCACCUUCGGCUCCACGAACUACGGUCCACAGUUUGCCGUAGAUUGCGGAUUUGGCACCGACUUCACCGUUGACAACACUACGUUUGCAACAGCUACCACAGACACAACGCCCUACAUGGACAUCGACCUCGGCAGCAACUUCUUCCUCAUCUCCGUCACCAUCACCAACAGGGGUGACUGCUGUUCUGAACGUCUCCGAAACAUCAGAGUCGAGGUGUACAAUAACAACCCAACACUCGGAGGAACGCCAGAAGUCUGCACUACAAUCGGCAGCACCGCCCCCGCCGCUAGUUCCAACACCACGUUCACCUGUUCGGCCAUGGCAUUCGGAAGGUACAUCCGUUUUAACAAGUUCAGCAAGGUCGACGCUAAUGACGUCCUUCAGUUAGUAGAGGUUGUCCUUGAUGGCGUCCAGCUAAUUUCUGUGAUCCCCGUCCAUGGGUCACAGGUCUCUUCCUCCUCAGUCUUCACCUUCGACUCCACGAACUACGGUCCACAGUUUGCCGUGGACGGAGGAUUUGGAACCGACUUCGCCGUUGACAACACUACGUUUGCAACGGCUGUUGAAGACACAACGCCCUACAUGGACAUCGACCUGGGCACCAACGUCCUCCUCCGCUCUGUCACCAUCACCAACAGGGCUGACUGCUGUUCCGAGCGUCUUCGAAACAUCAUCAUCGAGGUGUAUGACAACAACCCAACUCUUGGAGGAACGCCUCAAGUGUGCACCACAAUCGGCAGCACCGCCCCAGCCGCCGGGUCGACCACGACAUUCAACUGCUCGGGGAUGCCAAUCGGAAAGUACAUCCGUCUUAAAAAGAGCUCCAAGGUCGACGCUUCUGAUAUCCUUCAGUUAGUAGAGGUGGUCCUAGAUGGCGUCCAGCAACACUGUUCUUGACACCACUUCCAGCUGGACGAAAACUGUUUCUCCUUCUCUGGAUUCCAAACAACCUAUGCCCAAGCGAAGUGGCGAUAUCUCUUUGGUGACGUUGUUCCCCUGAAUGGCUUCACCUCUCCCCUCG
rnacentral:misc_RNA from 1 species